rnacentral:misc_RNA from 1 species
GCUAAUGCUCUAGUGGCGGGUUCUGCAGUCUUUGGAGCUAAAGAUUACGCAGAAGCUAUAAAGGGCAUAAAGGCCAGCAAAAGGCCUGUAGCAAUUCCAGCCUGAAGAUUGGCAAUUUGUCAGGGGAAGCUUUAUUUAUUCCUUCAGUUUGUUCCAAUAUAAAGCCGGCGUAAGUUGAAGAGCAGCAUUUAAAGCUUGGGAGCUAUCAUCUCAUUUCUCAAAUUGUCCAAGUUUGUAUAUCUGAUGUUGUAACACCUGAAAUAAGUCGUAUAGGAAGCUGUUUAAACAGAGGUGUAAUUGAAUUAUGAUCCAUAAAUGAGUUUUGUGGUAUUUAACUCUGGUUUUUCUUUGCCAUUCUAAUAUAUGACUCUUAAUAUG